CAUUUCCUGAAAGUGUUGUUAGUCUCCACAGGACAGGUUAACUCUUCAUCAGAACAUCUUGCUGUGUGACAAAGGUGGAGACAUAUGCAAACACCAGACUUUCACUGAAUUUGGGCAUGUUGGUUAUAUACACCAGUCACCAUACUCACAUGGAUGAAACAGAUGAGACAUCAUGUUCAGAAAACCCCAGAGUGAAAUGGAUAUGUUGUCCAGAGAGCCUGGUAUAUAGUGCUCUUGGGAAUGUUUUCUUGCUGCCUAUCUGCUUUAUUUCCGCAUGGCAAUUACAGAAGCACGGUCGUCAGAAUGUUACUAAACUGAUGAUGCUUCAUUAACAAAACGGAAUUGUAGGAAAAGCUUGAAACACUAUCUCUGUCUUAUCUUCCCACUGUGAGAGUGCUCAGAAGUUGGCUAAUUUCCAAGAGACACUUAAGCAAAGUGUACAUGAGUAAGCAAUUAAUGAGCAGGUAACUUCUCCUGAAUUGUGUUGCUCUGAGUGGCAGAAGUGCCCUUGUUACAGCAGGAGACAGAAAAGGUCUGUAAUGCAGAACUUCUCUGAAAAAUCUGACUGUGACAUCAUAUUCAUGACAAACUACAGUGCAUGGAAUGGGAAAUUGUUCCUACCAUUCUGAUACUGGGGAAGAAAAAAGACAUGAACAUGUGAAGAGGAAUGCUGAAGAAAGAUAGAUCACAAAGAUUUGUGAUUACUUCCAGAAUGAUAUUUCAGAAGUGACAAAAAAAGGACAGGAUAGCAGGAUUAAUGAAGAGAUUCGUGAUCUCCUGCUGUGAUGAAGAGUCCAGGAAGCAGCUGCUGUAAAAGGAGAUGUUCUGGUACCAGCUGAGGAGCAUUUGUGGAGGAGUCAUGGAAGAGAGAGGAGGUUUUUGGACUUAUUCAGUUUACUUCUGAAGGCACAAAGUAGCAAGGAUGCCAGGACUUAAGUCAUCCUAGAUUUCUGUAUAACUUAGAGUUAUCUGUAAUUUCCUCCCUCUCUGGGACAGAAGAGUUAAUCAAAGCAGUAUGCCAGUGGUGGCCUAGGGCCCUCUGGGUCUCCCUCAGAUACUGAUAUUGCCAGAUGUUCCUCAAACCAGGGUACAGAGUCUCCUACUGAUGGAAUUAUGGACUUAUACCUGUGCCUGAUGUUUUUGGAUGUGAUGAGCAGCUGCAGAUCUCAAGAAGAUAUAUGGUGCAUCUUUUGCAAAGAUCAGGUACUCUUGCUGUAGUUUAACUAUGAUAAAUAAAAAGAUGUACUGACAUGAGCUGAGCAAUGCAGAAUUGGUGUGGAUACUGACCAUCCUUUUCUGCCUGCAUACCAGAGUUGGAAGAGCUUUUCCAC